GCUAUGCUGCUUAAAGACAAGCUCUUCUUCUGCAUCCUAAUCCAGGAUUGUACUAAGGGUUUCAGUUUCAAAUAGCUGUCUUUAGAUUGCUAUGUUUUGAUAUACUGGCUUUCAUUUAUUUCCCUGGUUCCUCUUCUUCAUGAGCAAUUCAAAGACAAGCCUGGCAGCAGCUCACACCUCAGAUAUUGAGAUGUUCUUCAAAGAUGUAAGGGGCAAAACAGGAUAUCAAUCCUUCAUUGUGCUGGAGGCCACUAGGUGUGUGAAGUGGACAUUGCACAAAGUGAGGAUGUUAUUCCCGGACUGAGGUGAGCAUCUCACAUACUUAUUCCCUCAAAAGCUCAGAACCUGCUGAAAGGUUUUGGAUAUGUUCUGGAAAUACUCCAAGAGAAGUAGAUUUCAGUUGUUUAUAUCCAGAAUGAGUAGCAAAAUCAUGCCUUCUAACUAUCUGGAUUUAGCAGGAACAGUCCCAAUUAAUUUUCUAUCCUUGCUUUGAAGCAGCAUCCUUCAAAGACUUGCACAAAGCUUGGGAAACCUGGAGUGUAUGGAGAAGCUCAUCCCCUUGGCUGUGUUGGCUCUAUCUCCAAGGUAUACCCAGACCUGGCAGGAAAUCUGAAGGAAAAGACCUUAGGCAGGAGCAAGGAGGAAGGGGAGGCCAGACUCCCUGUCUGACAGUUCUAGUGGUAGUCCCAGCAGCUGAGAGAAGGAGAUAGCAAGGAAGAAGGAAUUAGCAAAGAAGAGUCACAAGUGCAAGAGGCCGCAGAGAGCAUUCUGGAGGUAUAAGAAGUCUAGCAGCCCUUCAACAUCUGCUCCACAUGACAACUCAUUGCAAGUAGAGAAAAACAGAGGUGAUGUCCCACUUUGUAGAAACAGAAAGGAAUGAUGUCAGAUUCCAAGGUCCAAUUUGCUUUAGGACACCUGUGUCAUAAACAGCCUUAAAACCAACAGUGAAAGGGUAAGAUGAUAUGAGCUUAACAGUGACUGGUUGUUCUGCUUCAGACAGUAGGAGCUGACUCUGUGGACUCAAAUUACAAGAAAGAAGACUCUGCCAAAACAGCAGGAAGAAGAAGGAUUUCCUGAGGAUAAGAGAUGUUCAACAGUCGAAUAGACUAUCUUGAAGAUGGUGAACUUUCAUUCAUUGGAGACUUGUAUAACAGUAUAUCCCACCUGUCAGGGAUGCUUAAGCUGUGGAUUCCUGCAGUGACAGAGGGUCGGACUGGAUGAUCUUUGUGUAGGAAUGUAAAAACACUUUGUAAUGUCUUAUCCUCAGUUAGAAAGGUUGUCUCCACACAUGGAGUAUUAGACAGUAUGUGUAGGUGUGCCUUCACGUCACCUGUCAACUUAUGGCAACCUCUUGAAUUUCAAAGGGUUUUCUCAAGCAAGGAAUAAUUAGAUAUAGUUUUGCCCAUUCCUUCCUCUGAAAUAUCUCUCACCUGGUUUUCAUUGGUGGUCUCCCAUCCAAGUAUUAAUCAAGCUAAUCCUGCUUAGGUUCCAUGAUCAGACAGGAUUUGGUGCCCUUAAGGUAUUUAGUCCUUGAUAGAUGUGUGUGUAAUUUAAGCCUUUUUAAAAUGUUCUUUGUUUGAAACCCAACUUGUGUUUUUUUUUACAGAAAACAGCAUUUUUUGUCCAAACAUACUUUUUUCUGUGCAAAGUUUUUUUUAAAAAAAAUAAAAUAAAUGAAUUUGUCUCAAAAAGGGGUCUUGAAGUUCAAAAUGCAGAAGAAGUCUCAUAAUCUUCUGACAGGGAGAAAACUUCUGAAAUCAUUCCUUUUUGCAUCCAAAAAUGAAUUAGAUGAAGGUUUAUAUUCUAUUCUCAAGGUCUCUCUCAGUUCUCUUAUUCUAUAAGAAGUAUUCCCAGAGAUAGACAUAUAGAAAACCAAUUGAACGGUAAACGUGGAAGACAAUUCUCUAAAUGAUUUUUUUUUAAAAAAUAAUCAUUAAAUCUCAUCUUGUAUUUGUACUUUUCUUUCCUUCAGGUGUAAAUUGCUACUCUAGCUAAAACACAACCCAGAAAGAAAUAAUUAUGCCACCAAUAUGAACAUUUCAAAAAUAUAACUAUGGCAUA